UAGUUCAGUUUUGUUGGGUUCCAGCACAUGUUGGGUUAAAAGGAAAUGAAAUGGCUGACAAAAUUGCGAAGAAAAUGUUAGAAAAAGAACAUAUAGGAAUUAAUAUUUCAAUUGGGAAAGGUGAAGCCAAAGCUAAAAUAAAAUCAGAAAUGCUUUUGAAAUGGCAAAAUGAAUGGAAGGUAGAAUACAAUGCAAGGCAUUACCAUACAAUUGAGGAAAAUGUGUGGAGGAAAAAAAUAACAUUAGGUCUUAGCAGAAGGGAAGAAGUGGUUUAUAGUAGACUAUGAUUGGGUCAUACAGGUCUUAAUGGCACACUCAGGAUAAUAGGGAAGAAUAACAGUUUAUGUACUGAAUGUCAUGUUAUGGAAAAUGUAGAUCAUGUUUUGUUUAAUUGCAGGAAGUACACAGAAUAUAGACAACAAUGGAAAGAAAGAGAGGCUGAAAGUGGCAUAGAAAACACCCUUAAGGAAGAAGGAAUGAAGAGUGAUAAGAUUAAAUCCCUAUUUAUCUUUUUGAUGGGUGGCGGUAUACACCAAUGAGAUGUGAUCCGCCAAUAAAAUAAAGAAGAAGAAGAAGUAGUCUCGUCUUGCCAUGAACAAAAGUGCGGGAGCUGAGAGAAGCUGACGUCGCCGACGUCCGUGGUUUUCAGGUCAUUGGCACUGCUGUGUAAGUGUUUCACUGACCGACACCUCAAGACAUUUUAGCAAUGUACAUCUAGGAUGCGGUCUAUCCAGAUGAGCUUCUCUCCAAUGCCAGUAAACCGACAGUGGAAGACACGAGCCAGCACUUCUCCCCCCACAUUGCUUCAGGCUUUUGAGAUCCCCACUUUAAAACUGCUUCUCCCCCCUUCAUGAGACCGGAUGCUAUGUUGGGAUCACCGGGGCCUCCGUCGGCCGCCAUUUACACGCUACAUCAGGUGUAGCAAUUAUGUGAGCUGCAGUCUGGAUCCUGCUUCUGUCAGAUGACCUAACACAAAUGGAAAGAUGACAUCGGCCCUUGCCAGGAUUUCAGACGAUGCCAGCACUGGACUACACACAGUGGUAAUUAUCUGUGUUUCAUGUUUAACUUUAUGCCUUUUGGAGAUAAUUUCAUUUUCCCCCUGUUAAGUGUUCACAUUAACAGAAUUUUUCCCUAUGCUAUAGGGAUGUGCAUUUAUGUC